UACGAAGGGUGCAAGCGUUAUUCGGAUUUAUUGGGCGUAAAGGGUGUGUAGGCGGUAUACUAAGUCUGUUGUUAAAUGCUCCGGCCUAACCGGAGACAUGCGGCGGAAACUGGUGUGCUGGAGGAUGGAAGAGAGAAGUGGAAUUCUCGGAGUAGCGGUAAAAUGCGUAGAUCUCGAGAGGAACACCAAUGGCGAAGGCAGCUUCUUGGUCCAUACCUGACGCUGAAACACGAAAGCGUGGGGAGCAAAC
rnacentral:rRNA from 1 species